ACUCCUACGGGAGGCAGCAGUGGGAGUAUUGCAUCAAUGGGCAGGCAAGCCUGAUGCAGCCAUGCCGCGUGUGUGAAGAAGGCCUUCGGUUGUAAAGCACUUUCAGUCGUGAGGAAGGUAGUGUAGUUAAUAGCUGCAUUAUUUGACGUUAGCGACAGAAGAAGCACCGGCUAACUCCGUGCCAGCAGCCGCGGUAAUACGGAGGGUGCGAGCGUUAAUCGGAAUUACUGGGCGGUAAAGCGCAUGCAGGUGGUUUGUUAAGUCAGAUGUGAAAGCC
rnacentral:rRNA from 1 species